GUCUGGGGUCCGGGCCUCCUCCGUGUCUGCUUCAUGUUCUGAGGGAUGGGGCUGUGGCUCCCCACACACACUACUAGACAUUUACAUGGAGUAACCUUUUGAACACCAGCGCGCUCACACACACAGGUGUGCACACAGGGGUACAAACAGGUUCUCACAGACACAUACAGGUGUACAAACAGGUUCUCACAGACACACACAGGUGUACAAACAGGUUCUCACAGACACACGCAGGUGUACAAACAGGUUCUCACAGACACAUACAGGUGUACACACAGGUUCUCACAGACACAUACAGGUGUACAAACAGGUUCUCACAGACACAUACAGGUGUACACACAGGUUCUCACAGACACACACAGGUGUACAAACAGGUUCUCACAGACACACACAGGUGUACACACAGGUUCUCACAGACACACACAGGUGUACAAACAGGUUCUCACAGACACACACAGGUGUACACACAGGUUCUCACAGACACACACAGGUGUACAAACAGGUUCUCACAGACACACACAGGUGUACACACAGGUUCUCACAGACACACACAGGUGUACAAACAGGUUC